rnacentral:rRNA from 1 species
ACGCUCGACACCUACGGGAGGCAGCAGUGGGGAAUAUUGCACAAUGGGGGAAACCCUGAUGCAGCGACGCCGCGUGAGUGAAGAAGUAUUUCGGUAUGUAAAGCUCUAUCAGCAGGGAAGAGAAUGACGGUACCUGACUAAGAAGCCCCGGCUAACUACGUGCUAGCAGCCGGCGGUAAUCUGAGCGGGCUGGCAAGGC